rnacentral:rRNA from 1 species
AUGGCGAAGGGUCACGUGCUGGUGCUGCCCAUGCCGUGCCAGGGCCACGUCGUCCCGCUCAUGGAGCUCUCGCACCGCCUCGUCGACCACGGCUUCGAGGUCACCUUCGUCAACACCGAGGUGGACCACGCGCUCGUGCUCGCCGCCAUGGCGCCGGACGACGGCGCCGCGCUGCGCGGCAUCCACCUCGCCUCCAUCCCGGACGGGCUGGCCGACGACGAGGACCGCAAGGACCUCAACAAGCUCGUCGACGCCUACCCGCGGCACAUGCCGGCCUACCUGGAGGCGCUGGUCGGGGAAAUGGAGGCGGCCGGGAGGCCCAGGGUGAAGUGGCUCGUCGCCGACUUCAACAUGGGCUGGUCGUUCGAGGUCGCCAAGAGGCUCGGCAUCCGGGUCGCCUCCUUCUGGCCGGCGUCCGCGGCGUGCCUCGCUAUCAUGCUCAAGAUCCCCGAGCUGAUAGAGCAAGGCGUUCUCAACGACAAGGGAUGGCCGGAGCGGCAGGAGACGCUGCGGCUCGCCCCGGGGAUGCCACCGCUCCACACGUCGCUCCUGCCGUGGAACAACGCCGGCGCCCCCGACGGACAGCACAUCAUAUUCCAGCUCGUGUGCCGGAACAACAAGUUCAGCGCCCACGCCGAGAUGACCGUGUGCAACUCGUUCCACGACGCCGAGGCCGGCGCGUUCAAGCUCUUCCCCAACAUCCUCCCCAUCGGCCCGCUCUUCGCCGACAAGGGGUUCCAGAGGUCCGUCGGCAGCUUCUUGGCGGAGGACACGAGCUGCCUCAAAUGGCUGGACGCGCGACCUGACGGCUCCGUCGUGUACGUGGCCUUCGGGAGCAUGGCCAUCUUCGACCCGCGCCAGUUCGAGGAGCUGGCCGAGGGGCUGGAGCUCACCGGCCGGCCGUUCCUGUGGGUAGUGCGCCCGGACUUCACCGCCGGCCUGAGCAAGGACUGGCUCGACGAGUUCCAGCAGCGCGUCGCCGGCACCGGCAUGAUCGUCAGCUGGUGCUCUCAGCAGCAGGUCCUUGCGCACCAAGCGGUGGCGUGCUUCGUGUCGCACUGCGGGUGGAACUCGACCAUGGAGGCGGUGAGAAAUGGCGUGGCGGUCCUGUGCUGGCCCUACUUCUGCGAGCAGUUCCUGGACCGGAGCUACAUCACCGACGUGUGGAGGACCGGCCUCGCCGUGUCCGCCGGCGAGGAUGGUGUUGUGACGAAAGAGGAGGUGAGGUGCAAGCUGGAAAGUGUCAUCGGCGACGCGGACUUCAGGAAGUGGGCUCGGCGGCUAAAGGACACCUCCUGGAGGUGCAUCAGCGAGGGCGGCUCCUCACACAAGAAUUUCGCUAGAUUUGUGGACCUUCUAAGUGAAUGA